rnacentral:rRNA from 1 species
GACGAACCGUCCUAACGUUGUUCGGAAUCACUGGGCUUAAAGGGCGCGUAGGCGGCUUGUUAAGUCAAAGGUGAAAUCCCUCGGCUCAACUGAGGAACUGCCUUUGAAACUAGCGAGCUUGAGGCCGGGAGGGGGUAGCGGAAUUCCCAGUGUAGCGGUGAAAUGCGUAGAUACUGGGAGGAACACCAGUGGCGAAGGCGGCUACCUGGACCGGUACUGACGCUGAGGCGCGAAAGCGUGGGUAGCAAACAGG